CCGCUCUACACACACACACACACACACACACACACACACACACACACACACACACACACACACACACACACACACACACACACACACACACACACACACACACACACACACACACACACACACACACAUAUAUAUAUAUAUGCUUAAGUUUUAGAAUCCACCUUUCGAUAGUGUUAAAUAAAGACACUUUAACUAUAAUAAUGACUCUAAUUACUCUAAUAAGUAGCUUGGUCUGAUAAUAAAUCAUUAAGACCUACCAAAGCAACCUACAUACAAUAGCAUAAACAAAACAGCAUAUUUUACUAAAACGGAUGUUAAUACACAAUAUGUAAGUACUGGCAGUUAUGAUCUUACCUAAUAUAUUUUAAUAUGAUAAACUGAUUAUUUCCUCCUAAAUGUAAAUGCAGCAUGUGUGAAGUCCUAUCAGGAAGCAGAAUUCACCUUUGUUUGUUUGUUUUUUCACUUUUGUCUCUCGACAGAGAGUAGAGAGAAAGAUGGUUGGGAUCACUGGAUGAGUCACAGCCAGAUUUGAACUUGCUUUAACCACUAUGCCAUGGCUCCAGCGACAGUUGUUUAGGCAGAGACGAAUGUGUGGCUCUUUCUUUAAUGAGACUACACUCUCAUUGCAGCAGAAACACCUGAGCACUCUGCCAUCAGAGGUCUUCUUGAGUUCAGCGUGCGGGCGGAAGGGGGAGGGCGAGCAGCAGUGGCCUGUACCUUCCCAAGCUGGGCUGACUGACCAUGGCAGAUUGCAAGCUGCGAUGUGAGUAAUGCGCUUUACACUGUUUUAACAGCUGACUACCCCAGAGGCCUGAGGUGAGAGGCACAUGUGAUGGGCAGAGAGCAAAGUCUGCGCAGAGGACAGGCUGGCAUGUGCCAGGGUACAGUGACAGCUCCCUUACUGGGGCACAGACUAGAGCAGUAUGGCACGGAAAGGAUGCCACGCUCUGGAUAACACACCGCGAGUGGCUCCACACUGAAUGUCGGACUCCGCAACGAUACACAAUUCACAAAGCAUCAACAAGAGCAAACAGUUGAGAAGACGAUGUCAAGCAAUCUGCAUUUCAAAGAUGGAAACUCACUUUCACUGAUCUCACUGCAAGGAAUAGCACAGUUACAAUGUGCACUAUGUUUAGUUCAGCUGUAGAUAUGCUAGACAUCAGAGUCAUGUGCAAAGAAGCUCUGAUAUUUGAAACCGCUCAUACUGGUCUCAAGACAGCCAGGGUUCCCACCAUCUUUUGACCAAUGAAUGUCCAGUUAUUUGUGCUGACUACUUCAUUUGUUAGUGAACUUUGUCAGGCAUGAUUCACAAAUAGCAAUUUAAAGUCAAUUAAAUAUUUCACAGCUAAAACAAUAAGACUAACAAUUUUAAACCUUGCAAAUUUGCCAUUUCCAGGUUUUCCAUUGCCAUAUAAACCUUGAUUGCAAAUGUAAAUGUAGGUCCUGAACUUGCUUUUUUUUUGUGUGUUUGUAAUGAAUAAAAAAAUAAAUGCGCCAUA